rnacentral:lncRNA from 1 species
CAACUCUCUCAAAUGCAGAAGCAAGUCCAAGGCUUCCAAAUCCUUUCUCAAUCUUUAAAAGCAUCCACAUCCGCAACACAUACCCAACCCAAUCGUUCUUCCAAGACAUCAGAUCCAUCGCUGCAAAGUAGAGUAGCCCUCUGAUGGCGAUUUCAUUUGAUAAAACAUGGAAAAACUCAAACAUCGACGAUGAUCGGUACCUCAUUCUGUUCGAUUCACUUCACAAAGCCCUUUGACUCCCCAAGGUAGCAAAGACAAGCCUAGGAAUGAGAGGGAUGGAGAUAGGGUGGAAAGGUCGAUGAAUAUGGGACUAGGUGUGGCCGU